rnacentral:lncRNA from 1 species
UUUAGUGUAUAAAAGCUAACGAAGAGUGUUUCUAUACAAGCCAGUGUUGUAGCAGAAAUGAUGUUUGUGUUAUGGAUUCAAAACUUUCAUUGUAUGCUGGUAUGUAUAUGAAUAUAUUUAUUAUAUUUCUUAAAACAUUGAUAUUUGAAAAUCAUUGUUCUUAUGCCUAUCAAGUAAUUUUGGUGUUGUACAAUGGUCUGGUAUCUACAUGUACUAAACGACCCUGUAUCGUCAUCAGAAGAACACUAGAAGCGACAGAUAACAAAAAUGUAAGCAACUCUAUGAACAAAAUUAACCGAUCAAAUAACAGUACACACAAAAUAACAUAAAGACUAAAGCAACACAUACUCACAGCAAACAUGUUUAACACAGCCAUUCUUUAUGUGCCUGCAGUACAGUGGUGGUUAUCAUUUGAUGCAGUUCGUUAGUUUUUACUUUUGAAUUAUUUUUCUUUUGCCAUCUCUGGCUCUUUUAUAGCUUGCUAUGCUGUAUAGGGAUUUUUUUUUUUAUGUAAAAGACCAUUUUUUAUUUCUUCAUUUGGUCUCUGAUGGGGAGUUGUCAAAUUUGAAAUCCUACCAAAUCUUCUUUUAUUUUUAUUAUGAGAUGUUUACAUCGGUAAACUACUACUGGCUUUUAAUGUUAAAAGUCUAUUUUCGAACUGUUUGUAGAUUUACGUUCAUUUUUUAUUAAGUUGUGCAAUUAAGAUGGAAGGUUUAUACACCUGAAAACCUAUUUGAGUUAUGGCAUGGUAAUCAUUGUCAAUACGGUAGAAAAUGUUAUUAUGAAUUUGAGAAUGGAAAUAAGAAAUAUGUUAAAAGAACAACAACCCGAACAAAGAAGAGAUAACAGCCGAAGGCCACCGAUGGGUCUAAUACCUCUUGAACAAGCUGUUUAUCUGUAAAUUAGUUAUUCAUAAAAUGUUGAAUUAUUUGAAACACUGAAUUAUUUCUGCCCAAUGGCAUAGAUUGCCUUAGCCAUAUUUUUGUCAACCUGUCAAAUUAUUUUGAUUUUAAUGCUCUUCCGCUUGGUCCAUAUUUGCUUUGCCCUUCAAACUGUCUUGUUUCGAUCAGAGCUAACGAGUCCCUAAUAUAUGUACCACGCGUCUGGCGUGCUUAAUUACAAGUAUGGUGAUUCUUUUAUGAUUUGUUUUACAUUACAUGUCAGUUUAAUCAUCUUUAAUAGUUUUGCCUAUAUCCACGCAAGAAUAAGACAGCUAUCAUGUGCUUGAGUUUUUGAAUUUGCUAUUUGAUUAAGGACUUUCCGUUUUGAAUUUUUCUCGGAGUUUUGUAUUUUUGUGGUUUUAAUUUUUAUACUCGACAUUGCAGCAUAAUGUAGUUGUACAUAAUUUGUUCUCUUUUAAUCUAAAGAUGGUGUUGUGAAUGUGCCAGUUAAAAGAAAGCAAUGAACACAUCAAAAUAGACGUGUUAGGGAAUAUUGAUGUUGGUGUGAAUAAAUAUAAGUACCCCUUUUUUUCUUUUUUCUUUUCAUCGCAAGUUAUUAAGUGUAUCUUAUGUUAUUCCUACUGUGAAAAUAAUAAGACUCCCCCAAAAAGUCUCAUUAGUGAAUGUCCUUUUAAUCACACUUUAAUAGUUAAUUUGUUAAACGCGAGGUGCAUGUUGAGUGUAUCUUAUGUUAGUCUUAUGAUUGAAAUAAUAAUAUGAGUAUUCACAAAGAAUUUGUUUUAGAUGACGUCACGGUCUCUUCUCUUUGUUGUCCAGUAAGCGUUGGUGUCAAUUAAGUCAUUCUUAUGAAUUCAUUACUGAGUCCGGCCUAACAGAUGCUCAUUGGUGAAAACGAAUGAGUUAACUGAAGUCUAUUCUAUUCAUUCCGCCAUUUGGAAUUUUGUUUCUUUUUUGUUUAAAUCACUUGUCCCAAAACAGAUCUUCAUAUUAAGUGAUGCUAACCAGAGUAAAACUCAUGCCUUAUUUAGAAAUUCCUUUUCUUUUCGGCGAUUUUCAAUUUAAUUUUAAAAUCACCAAUAAUAUUAUGAGUUCAACGAGUGAGGAUUUUGUCGUUUGUUUUUUUAUUGCACUUAGUGUUUCUGUUGUUUCGUUGUUUUCCUCUUAUAGUUGAUGUGUUUCCCUCGAUUUGAGUUUGUAACCAGGAUUUGUUUUCUCCAAAUCGAUUUAUAACUUUCGAACAGCGGUAUAUUACUGUUGCCUUUUUUUAAGGAGGCAAUUAAUAUAAUAUGUGAACAAAAACGCCAUGGCUUAUACGAAGAACGAAAUACGAAAAAAAAAGCACUAUUCAGAGAUCUAAAAAAUGAGCAACUCAAACCCCAACAAACACCGGGAGUGAACUAAGGUACUUCGUAAGAAAAGGCAGCUUCGUCUCCAUAUACGGUUUCCGUCGUGUUUCUCAUUACAAGUGAUUUAAAUAGUUUAAGCUUGUGAAUAUAAAUAAUCAAAUAAUGAUGUUUCUACGUAUAAUGACACACUUAUUGAAAAAGUAUAAAUUUCAGGUAGGAAAAUUGGACUUUGUCGAGAUCUUGAAUAUAUUCGGGGAGAUAUCCAGCCAACUAAAUUUGAAGGUAAGUCAGUAUUCUUUUAUAUCUAUUAAUAUCAUAUAUGAUAAGUUAUUAUAUCUAUUAUUCAGUUUUCGACACCACUGCUUGUGGUUUAUUAGUUCCCAAGGGCAUCUUCAUCUCAAUAAUGAUUAAAACAUACAGUAUAUAAUUUUCCUUUAAUAAAUAAUUUAGAAUUUCGGAAAAAGUUUGAAUCGGCAAUGAAUAUUACCAGAGGAGAGGCGAUGAUUCAAAAGUUAUUAAACGAGCACCAGCAUAUGGCAAAGUAUGAAGAUCAUCUUUUUUAUUCAUUUUCAUUUUAUUAUUUUUGAGCGUUGCAAAUUUUGAAUGAAGGAAGUAUUUGUGUUUUAAUUUUUUCUUAUUUUUCUAUAAGGGAAGAAGACAAUGUCUUUGCUUUGGCAUUUUCUGAGGUUAAACAGUGCAACAUUGUAAUAUUGAAGAGUAGGGGAGGAGUCGGUUUUUAGUCUUUUAGAGACAUUUUAUUCGUCUGACUACAGAUGUAUUCAGGAUAUUUUGUAGAUUUAUCUCCUCCGACCUGGUGGUAUUAAUUUUAACCUAUCGUACGUCCCGAAAUUCUAAAUAUAUCUAAAAAAAAGUCCAAUUUAAUAAGUGUCGUUGCAUGUAGGAUAAUUGUCCGAAAUUCCACGACUAUUAUUUAAAUAUGUCAAAAUAAAGGAUCCCUAAAACGAGUCUUACGUAGGAUUCGUCAAGCAUACGUACCUUUCGUCAAUUUGUAAGAAAGCUCUAUAGAAACGAAAUUGAGGACCAUUGUGUAUAUAAUUGCACUACUAUUUAUUGUUUGCAAAUACUGCAAAUUCAUAUAUAAUCGCGUGCAUUUAUUAUUUCAAUUUUUAAAAGAAUGAAAAAAAAAUCGAGAUUGAUGAAAACGAUUUCGGAGAAAGUGGCGAAUAGGUUUAUUUACAAGAUAUCAAAAUGCGAGUUUAUAUUAUAGCGAGACUCACCUAGUCGCAUUACUCGCACUAAUGUAUGAUUUUACAUUACACGGUAUGAUGAUACUAUAGCAGUUGUCUUUUAAAGGCAUAUAUAAUCCCUUAUUAUUAGACCAUGUCAUUUCAAAAAAUGAUAUCGACUCUGAUGCAAAAAGUAACGUUUUACACUGAGUAAUAAUGAUUGUUUUGGAACAUUUUCCAAAAAUAAAGAUAUACAUCCCGCUGCAAAUGUUUGCACCUGUCCUUAGUCAGGAAUCUGAUGUACAGUAGUUGUCGUUUGGUUAUGUAGUUCAUAAGUGUUUCUCGUUUCUCAUUUUUAAAUAGAGUAGACCGUUGGUUUUCCCGUUUGAAUGGUUUUACAUUGCUAUUUUUUUUUUGGAGCCCUUUAUAGCUUGCUGUUCGGUGUGAGCCAAGGCUCCGUGUUGAAGACCGUAACUUGACCUAUAAGGGUUUACUUUUAUAAAUUGUUAUUUGGAUUGAUAGUUGUCUCAUUGGCAUUCAUACCACAUCUUCCUAUAUCUAUGUACUUAACUUAAAAUAUCUCACCUUUAGUUACAUUGCAAAAACAUGCAAAAUUAUGUUAAUACAAAUUUAUAAUUAUCAUGCAUCAACUAUAAUUAUCAAAACAGUAUUUUGUAUGCGUCUGUGUAUUCAUUUAUUUCGUGGAUACUAAUUUUCGUGGAUAGAGAAGUGUUGCAUUUUCAUGAGUAUUUUACCCUAUGGUUAUGCAAAGUUCUUAAUACAUUCCUAUACAAAAUAUUCAAUCGUUGAACAUUCGAAUACGUACAUUUGUGUAGUUCCCCUGUUACAACGAACCCCACGAAAAUUAGUAUCAGGUAUAUGAAAUAUAUGAAAGAGCUGAGAACUAUUAUUUUUAAUUUAAGGAGAGGCAUGUGAGGACAGCUCAGAUUGCAUUGAUGGAUGCUGCAUAUCAAUAAGACGACACAGAUACGGUGUUCUCCAAGUUUGUGCAAGAGAAAAUGGUCCUUUUAUGUGCAUCACGUCUUAUCGUCAAUUUGCCGAUGGAUUAUCUAAGAAGUAAAAUAGCAAAUGUGUUUUAAAAUGUCUUCAUCUUGUUUUUUGUUAACUAUUUUUCAAGAAACAAUGAAAUAUUUAGGACAACAUGAGAAACAUGAAACAUUAAGACUAAUAAUUUUAAGUUUAAAGCAGAGUUAAUACUUAUUAGUGUUAAAAACGUUUGUGAUAUAGUUAUAUGCGAUAGACGCAAAAGCAACGAGGGACUACUUAUGUACAUUACAACAUGUUAAACCAAUCUUGAUUUUGCGUUUCCAUCAAUAGCAUUCGACUUAUGUCCAUUAAUGCAUUCUUGAAAACAAAGGUUUUUUUAUUGUAGUAAAGUAUUGUACUUUUAAAUGAUAAAUAAAACAAACAAAUCUCUAUACAGUUGACAUAAUGAUAAAAUAUGAUGUAUUGCUUAUCAUGCGAACGCUCCAAAAUUUGACGCGUGAAAGACAAUACAAGGAACAUAAGUGCAUGUAAAGAAAAUUAUAAAAGGAAAGUAUAAAAAUUUAGUUAGUAACAGGGGGAUGAAGUAGUGAAACCAUAUAUCAAAAGACAAAAAAAUAUCAAAACAGAGCC